rnacentral:sRNA from 1 species
AACAAUCCCUAAAAAAUACACACACGUUUCGUCACAUAGGGCAGGGUCCCCUUUGGGUGCCUUAUGGGAAGCGUGGAGGCCUAAC